rnacentral:rRNA from 1 species
AGUGAACGCUGGCGGUAGGCCUAACACAUGCAAGUCGAACGGCAGCACAGUAAGAGCUUGCUCUUACGGGUGGCGAGUGGCGGACGGGUGAGGAAUACAUCGGAAUCUACUUUUUCGUGGGGGAUAACGUAGGGAAACUUACGCUAAUACCGCAUACGACCUACGGGUGAAAGCAGGGGAUCUUCGGACCUUGCGCGACUGAAUGAGCCGAUGUCGGAUUAGCUAGUUGGCGGGGUAAAGGCCCACCAAGGCGACGAUCCGUAGCUGGUCUGAGAGGAUGAUCGGCCACACUGGAACUGAGACACGGUCCAGACUCCUACGGGAGGCAGCAGUGGGGAAUAUUGGACAAUGGGCGCAAGCCUGAUCCAGCCAUACCGCGUGGGUGAAGAAGGCCUUCGGGUUGUAAAGCCCUUUUGUUGGGAAAGAAAAGCAGCGGGUUAAUACCCCGCUGUUCUGACGGUACCCAAAGAAUAAGCACCGGCUAACUUCGUG